rnacentral:rRNA from 1 species
UACGGAGGGGGCUAGCGUUGUUCGGAAUUACUGGGCGUAAAGCGCACGUAGGCGGCUUUGCAAGUUAGAGGUGAAAGCCCGGGGCUCAACUCCGGAAUUGCCUUUAAAACUGCAUCGCUAGAAUUGUGGAGAGGUAAGUGGAAUUCCCGGUGUAGAGGUGAAAUUCGUAGAUAUCGGGAGGAACACCAGUGGCGAAGGCGGCAACCUGGGCCAAUAUUGACGCUGAGGUGCGAAAGCGUGGGGAGCAAACAGG